GAUGAACGCUAGCGACAGGCCUAACACAUGCAAGUCGAGGGGCAUCGGGACGUAGCAAUACGUUGCCGGCGACCGGCGGAUGGGUGAGUAACGCGUAUGCAACCUACCCGUAGCAGGGGGAUAGCCCGUUGAAAGACGGAUUAAUACCCCGUAACACAGGGGCUCCGCAUGGAGAUUAUUGUUAAAGGGUCAUUUCUUUUAGAGGUGGUCCGGCUGCGGAUGGGCAUGCGUUCCAUUAGGUAGUUGGUGUAGGUAACGGCUCACCAAGCCGACGAUGGAUAGGGGAACUGAGAGGUUGGUCCCCCACACUGGUAACUGAGACACGGACCCAGGACUCCUACGGGAGGCAGGCAGUGAGGAAUCUUGGUCAAUGGACGCAAGUCUGAACCAGCCAUGUCGCGUGAAGGAGGACGGCCCUAAGGGUUGUAAACUUCUUUUGCAGUGGAAUAAAGUUUGCCACGUGUUGGCGAUUUGCAAGUACGCUGCGAAUAAGGAUCGGCUAAUCCGUGCCAGC
rnacentral:rRNA from 1 species